rnacentral:rRNA from 1 species
CUUUUGCUGGCGACCGGCGCACGGGUGAGUAACACGUAUCCAACCUGCCCUUUACUCGGGGAUAGCCUUUCGAAAGAAAGAUUAAUACCCGAUAGCAUAAUGAUUCCGCAUGGUUUCAUUAUUAAAGGAUUCCGGUAAAGGAUGGGGAUGCGUUCCAUUAGGUUGUUGGUGAGGUAACGGCUCACCAAGCCUUCGAUGGAUAGGGGUUCUGAGAGGAAGGUCCCCCACAUGGAACUGAGACACGGUCCAA